GUGGCGCGGGGAGCGGGCGGCGCACGGUUGGCCGUCCGCGGCUGUGGGAGCGGGCGAGGCCGAGUGGGCGGCUGGCGGAGCGGCGAGGCCGGCCGCGGCUCUUUGUCUGCCUCGGCCCAAAAUGGCUGCAUGUUUCCCUGCUGCUCCCUGCGUCCGGGUCUCCCCCGCCGGCGCGAGUCUGAAGGGCGCCCCACACCUGUGCCAGCUGCGUGUAACUGAUCCACCGGCUGGGCGCGGGGGGGGAACGGAGGGCGGAGGGUAGCCGGGCCCCACGCCCAGCCUCGGGCGGGGGCAACGGGACGAGGAGGAGCGCGCCGGCCCCUGCGCCUUGCUCAGCCCCUGUUAAAGUUAGGCUGCCCCGGAGUGCUGUCCGACCGAGCACUGCAGUCCCUCCAUGCAGCCCUGCCACCCGGGUCGCGGGGGCGGGAGCCGCCCGACCUGUGUCAGGCGCGGUGGCUGCAGACUUCCCUCCGCGGCCUGAGCAGCCUGACUCAGCACGACGGGCCGCGGAGGCGCUGAGGGGAGCCCCGGGAAGGCAAGGCACUGUUUCCCUUGAAAACUGAGAUAAUGGAACAUUAACUGAAAGAUAAAUCGUAACGUGUGAUGAUGGCAUAGAAGCAGUGUCUCAAGAUACAAGUGGUAAUGCAGUUACUUCUGUGUGUUUUCUAAAAGUGCUUAACCUAGAAUUCAUCACAGGAGCCCCUGACAGUUACGUUAUGGUGAUAAGGGACAUAUCAGAGGGCAAGAGUUGGUGAUUCAGCUCAACAAGAAGAAAUGUGAAAUGAAACUAACAGGCCACAAGUUCAUAGUCUGCUAAAUGCUCAUACCAAGCUUUAUGGGAUGUUAUGAUUCCACAGGACAACCUGACUAAUCUUAGUAGCAUUAUAGAGAAGAGACUGAACUGGGAAGCCUAUGUAGGCAGAAAAGAAAAUGGAGAGAGCUUUCAACCCAAAGGAAAUGACACAGACAGAGGGUCUAAUUUUUAUGCAGAGCCAAAGAAGGAGCUAGAUUUGCUGCUGUGUACAGUUUGAUGGGUCUGUAAGUUUGCUUAUUCAUUACUGUUCCUUGACAUGAAGCUGUCUAAGGAGACUUGAACAACUUGGAAGCCUGGAGCUGUCCUGGACAAGAACUCAUCCACCAUGACAUCCUUGUGACUUUAAAAGCUGUGAAGCUGCAUACUGGCACAGGUGCUGGUGUGACCAUACAAUGUGCUAGUUCCUACCCUCUCUACUGUUACCAGCAUUUCCACUGACAGAAAGAGAGUCUGUACAGAGCCAGGUUGCCCCCUUCCUAAAGCUUUUCUGGCACUCUUUAAGCACACUAAAUAAGCUUUCAGAAAGCUCGUCUCUUACAUGAGCUACACCAUCCACUUUUAUAUCCAGGUGGAGUCAUGAGCCACCUGCAUCUCACAGGGACUGAAUCACCAGCUCUUGCCCUGUGAAGACAGUGCAUCAUUAUCCUGACACAGCUCAGAUAGCUAUUUGAAAAGUUAUUUAGUGCUAUGUCACUUUGGGCUUCCAGGUCAUUCUCUUGCAGAUGCAAAUAUCAGAUUUCUUUCCAUUCACAAUAAAAUAAGAUAUAUUUUGUUCCAACUGUCAACCUCACCCUCAGCUCUUGGGAUUCUUUCUCCUUCAUCAAUGAUUAAGAUUCUCCUGAGUUACGCUUGCACAAACCUUUUGCCUUCAAAGCAUCUUACUGACAGCUGUAUGUCCCAAAUAGCCUUUAGAAGUUUGUGACAGGUGAUCUCAUGGACACAGUAAAUGUUAAGGAUGCUGCUGAGUAAAUAGCUGAAGAUGAAGCAAUGAAGGUCUCUGGAAAAAAAAUUAAGCAUGUUAAUAUGAAUUAAGUAAGAAAAUUCAAAUGUCAAAUCUCAAAUGUUAAUAUUAGGCUUACUUUAUAGAGCAUAAAUGUGGUUUAGAAGCGCACUAACUAAUAAAACCCUUGCCAUACAUCAAGUAAUAGAGAAACAAGGUAUAAAUAACACAAAGGCUUUGAACAGUAAAUGUCUGAAUUUUCAGGUGAUGACAAAAAAAGCGUGUACACAGAUACUACAACAGCAAAAAGCAUGAGUUGGACUGGAGCAGCCAGAAAAACACUUCUGUCUUAUGUGAAGGCUCAUUUACAGUUUAGCCUCUAAAAUGUGAGGGAGAUUAAAUGUCAGAUUAUUGUCAUACAAAAAUAAAUUACCUUCAAAAACUGUACUAAAGUCCUAUUACCUUAUCUGGCUAGCUGUAACCUAAACAUGAAUUAAAACCUUUACACUUUACACUCCAAAACCUGUUUAGUUGUAUUUAAAAGAAAAAGUAAAAUAACAACUACAAAAUAAGGAUGUUGUAGCAGAUGUAACAGUAACUAAUAAUUCACAUCUUCAAAGACACUUCUGAACCAUUCCUUUUAAAAGUCCAUGGACACUUCAAGCUAUGGAAAGUGCAGCAGAUGUCACGCAGGGACAGAACAGCCCACUGACGAGCGUAGUUAAAUGAUCCAUUCCCUGGCUGGGCAAAAAGAGGCAGAAUUCACUAGCUGGUUUACAAAACAGACAAAGAGAGAGUGGUUAAUUUGUUUGGCUCAAGAAUGGAGUCUACCUGAAAGAAUUACUGCAAAUUACUGCAAAAACAUCUGACAAAGGAGCUCCUUCCUCUAUGUUCUCAGCCCAAUGGUGUUAUGUUGUCCUAUGAUUUGACUUGCACUAGCAUGAACUGGGCAGCAGGGGCUUGGUGCCAACGAAAUAGUGCUCAGUGCUGAUAGCCUGAGUAUAUUGGGCAGUCUGUGGAGAGAAACGGGGAAAGAGCUCUUAAAGAAACACUGCUAUGGAUUCUUCUGGAUUUUUACCCAAAUCAAAUUAAUAAAGAUUGAUUUCUGUGUG